rnacentral:rRNA from 1 species
AUUGAACGCUGGCGGCAUGCCUUACACAUGCAAGUCGAACAGCAGCGGACCUUCGGGUGCCGGCGAGUGGCGAACGGGUGAGUAAUAUAUCGGAACGUACCUUUCAGUGGGGGAUAACGUAGCGAAAGUUACGCUAAUACCGCAUAUUCUGUGAGCAGGAAAGCAGGGGGAUCGCAAGACCUUGCGCUGAUUGAGCGGCCGAUAUCAGAUUAGCUAGUUGGUGAGGUAAAGGCUCACCAAGGCGACGAUCUGUAGCGGGUCUGAGAGGAUGACUCCGCCACACUGGAACUGAGACACGGUCCAGACUCCUACGGGAGGCAGCAGUGGGGAAUUUUGGACAAUGGGCGCAAGCCUGAUCCAGCCAUGCCGCGUGAGUAAAGAAGGCCU